AAGUCCCUAAUUUACAUCAAGCCAUGUGUAUACUUUUGUCAUUCACAACAAAGGAUGAUGACUUUUCAAGUCGGUAUUCAAUGCUUGAAUUCCUCUAAAUCUUUCUUCUAUAGGUUUGUCCAGACGUUGGGUAGAUAAGGAAGAGAAGAGAAGGCUUAGCUGAGAAGUAAUGGGAAAUAAAUUUACAUGGACCCAGUAUCUCAACAAACUCUGCUUCAGGACUGUUUUUAUUUUCCUUGUUAAUGAAAAAUGUGUUGCAUGACUAGUGUCGAUGAGGUUUUGAAGAGAGUUAGGGCUUGUCUGGCAAAACUGGCUUUCUGCUGCAGAAAGGGCAGUAGCAUCACGGAGGUACCUGCAGCCACAGUGUGAGGAGGGGAGGACCUGCUGCUCUGCCGGAACCCAGCAGUGGAUGGGCAGCGUGUGGUCAUCUCUCUUCCAGGAAGUUGGAAAAAGAGAUGCAUGCUCAUUAGGAUUAUAAAUCCAAUAGUGAGAGGUGGAGCAGACAGGCAGGCUGCUUGGUGGAUGCAGAUGGCGCCCCAGGCCAUGAGGUCAGGGCGAGGGGGAGGCUGACAAUCUCACCAGCAUACAUCAGAGAAGCAGAGGGGGAUGGGCGCGCAAGGGACAUUCAGCCACAAUCCAGAACUAGAUGCAGCCAAGGUCUUUCGCACAGACCAGAGGGCAUGCAUUGCUGUGUGGGAGUAGACGCUUAGACAUCCUUGGUAGGCGAGCCUCAUGGGCUAUAUGAGGGCUGAGAGGAAGUUCACACUCUGCCCCUCCUUUGGCUGUAAUGCUGGAGGGUUCAGCUUCUGGUCAAGCUCCUUGAAUGUUGUUUUCUGCACAGCACUGUUCACCGAGCCAGGUGUCCUAAGUUGAUGUCAUCUGCCCUUCCAGGUGUGAUCAGCAGCUCUGCAGCUGGGGCUGGUGUGGCGAAAUGUGAAACCAAGUGAAUCGAUCCUCUUCCAUUGAGGCAUCUCGAUGAAGCACCCUCUGAUGGGCAGAGUCCAGCCUCCUGUGAGUUACAGCUGAGGUGGCUUACUUAUCAGGAUCACAGAGCAAGUUGGGGUGCACUCCCUUGGAAGCCCACACUUCAGAGCUUAACCUUCCUCCCUCUGGCUACAUCCACCCUGGAGAUUUUCACAGCGUGCCCCUGUUGAGGAGCAGGAAGCCGUUCCCUGGGGUGCCUUGCAAAGGGACCAGGGAGGCAGAAAUGGACCAGGAGGCGGUGACUCCGGGGGGCUUUAUCUUCAGGCAGAGCAGCUCCUGAUUUCUGUAUUGCAGACUUAUGUGCUAUCCUGAUGGACACAAGAGGGCACUAAUCCUAUCGGUGCAGCAACUACAGUCUUUCACGUUGGAACUUGGUCCAAUUAGUAAAGAUGCUCUACUCUAGCCCCGUUGGAUGAAAGGAGUUAAGGACCACUCUGAAUAAAACAAUUAAAACAGG